UACAGAGGGGGCAAGCGUUAUUCGGAAUUAUUGGGCGUAAAGGGCGCGUAGGCGGCUUUUUAAGUCAGGGGUGAAAUCCUGGAGCUCAACUCCAGAACUGCCUUUGAUACUGAGAGCUUGAGUCCGGGAGAGGUGAGUGGAACUGCGAGUGUAGAGGUGAAAUUCGUAGAUAUUCGCAAGAACACCAGUGGCGAAGGCGGCUCACUGGCCCGGUACUGACGCUGAGGUGCGAAAGCGUGGGGAGCAAACAGG
rnacentral:rRNA from 1 species